GAAAGCUAUAGCACUUAUCAGAGCUGGGAUAAGAGGCAUCCAUCCCCGCGUUAAAUCUCUCUGGCAUUACAUAUUUACUACUGGAGUACGAGAAAAGGUCUUUUGCAUACUUGGUGCAGAACAGCAUCUGCAACAGUUUUCUCUCGGUGGUCAUGUCAUGCUUCUUUAAAACCCCGACAUCACAGGCUUAGCUUUUAACCAGGGAAAAAUAAUGGCGGUAUGGUGCAGUGUUCAAUGGCACAAAGUGCACAUUUGUUUGAACUUAUGACUUAUUGCAGAACCUUCUCUCAGCUUAUCAGAGGUCCCAUUCCAUUUUUUGGCAUUUCGCAGAACAGUGAUACCAUCAAAUGAGCUACAUCAGUUAUCACAGGAUCAGGAAUGAAUGGAAAGGUUUGCGAUUUUUUAGGAAAUUUUGAAUCCAAAUGUUGUUUAUUCAAUUUCUUCCAAGAAUCAUGUCUUUUUGGUGUGCUUGCCUUGAUUACAGUUGUUUGAGCAACCCUUAAGCAAUGGAGGCUGCCAGCAUCAUGCAUCAUUAGUCAUCUGUCAUACCUGAAAGGAAUAUUGCAACAAACUUGAACUUAGCAUCUCUAAUCUGCCUUUUUGUGUUUUUCAUUAUAAUCUCCAAUCAUUUUCUGUUGAACACUAUUGGAAUGGACUAAUAUUCUUCAAGAUAAUACCCAUUAUUGUUUCUUUUUGCCAUGGA